GUGCAAACUCAUAACUAAGUCAGCACGAUGUUGCAGUUAUGAGAGGAACCAGGUUUGCUAAAGUAAUGGCAGUGAUAGAAAUGAAUUAACUUCAGAUCCUAUUGAGGUUGCCUAUUUUAGCCUAGUACAGGU
ensembl:snoRNA SNORA66 Small nucleolar RNA SNORA66